rnacentral:rRNA from 1 species
AGUGAACGCUGGCGGUAGGCCUAAUACAUGCAAGUCGAACGGCAGCACAGUAAGAGCUUGCUCUUACGGUUGGCGAGUGGCGGACGGGUGAGGAAUACAUCGGCAUCUACUUUUUCGUGGGGGAUAACGUAGGGAAACUUACGCUAAUACCGCAUACGACCUACGGGAGAAAGCAGGGGAGCUUCGGACCUUGCGCGAUUGAAUUAGCCGAUGUCGGACUAGCUAGUUGGAGGGGUAAAGGCCCACCAAGGCGACGAUCCGUAGCUGGUCUGAGAGGAUGAUCAGCCACACUGGAAAUGAGACACGGUCCAGACUCCUACGGGAGGCAGCAGUGGGGAAUAUGGGACAAUGGGCGCAAGCCUGAUCCAGCCAUACCGCGUGGGUGAAGAAGGCCUUCGGGUUGUAAAGCCCUUUUGUUGGGAAAGAAAAGCAGCAGGUUAAUACCCCGCUGUUCUGACGGUACCCAAAGAAUAAGCACCGGCUAACUUCGU